AAACAUAAGAACCAUAAAUAAAAUAGCAUGCAAUAAUAUUAGACAGUAACUACCAUAAAUAUGAGAACCACAAUAAAACAUAACUAUAACCUUAUAUGCCUAAUAUAAUAGGCAUUUAUUUGUUCAGACAAAUUAUUAUUGUUCUCUAAACAUAUGAAAAUAUAAUUGUACUAAUGGCAUAUAUAGCAAAGUAACUAUUAUGCUUUCAAAUCCCACAAUGCCCUGCGUAUUUUUUUCCAAACAAAGUCUUAACACAGAAGCCUCUGCAGCAAAUCUCAUUGAAGUUGCACUUCUUCC
rnacentral:lncRNA from 1 species